CAGUAGCCACGGUAAUACAGAGGGUGCGAGCGUUGCUCGGAAUGACUGGGCGUAAAGGGCGCGUAGGCGGCGAUCAAAGUCAGGCGUGAAAUUCCUGGGCUCAACCUGGGGGCUGCGCUUGAUACUUGGUUGCUUGAGUGGGGAAGAGGGUCGUGGAAUUCCCAGUGUAGAGGUGAAAUUCGUAGAUAUUGGGAAGAACACCGGUGGCGAAGGCGGCGACCUGGUCCUUGACUGACGCUGAGGCGCGAAAGCGUGGGGAGCAAACAGGAUUAGAUACCCCCGUAGUCCCUGUCUCUUAUAC
rnacentral:rRNA from 1 species